GACGAACGCUGGCGGCGUGCUUAACACAUGCAAGUCGAACGGAAAGGCCCUGCUUUUGUGGGGUGCUCGAGUGGCGAACGGGUGAGUAACACGUGAGUAACCUGCCCUUGACUUUGGGAUAACUUCAGGAAACUGGGGCUAAUACCGGAUAGGAGCUCCUGCUGCAUGGUGGGGGUUGGAAAGUUUCGGCGGUUGGGGAUGGACUCGCGGCUUAUCAGCUUGUUGGUGGGGUAGUGGCUUACCAAGGCUUAGACGGGUAGCCGGCCUGAGAGGGUGACCGGCCACAUUGGGACUGAGAUACGGCCCAGACUCCUACGGGAGGCAGAAGUGGGGAAUAUUGCACAAUGGGCGGAAGCCUGAUGCAGCAACGCCGCGUGCGGGAUGACGGCCUUCGGGUUGUAAACCGCUUUCGCCUGUGACGAAGCGUGAGUGACGGUAAUGGGUAAAGAAGCACCGGCUAACUACGUG
rnacentral:rRNA from 1 species